rnacentral:rRNA from 1 species
UCCGUAGGCGGGCAAUUAAGUCAGGGGUGAAAGUCUGCGGCUCAACCGUAGGACUGCCCUUGAUACUGGUUGUCUUGAAUCGUUGUGAAGUGGCUAGAAUGAGCAGUGUAGCGGUGAAAUGCAUAGAUAUUGCUCAGAAUACCGAUUGCGAAGGCAGGUCACUAACAACGUAUUGACGCUGAGGGACGAAAGCGUGGGGAGCGAACA